AAUCAACGCUGGCGGCGUGCCUAACACAUGCAAGUCGAACGAGAAAGUGGAGCAAUCCAUGAGUAAAGUGGCGACCGGGUGAGUAACACGUGACUAACCUACCCUUGAAUGGGGAAUAACCUUCCGAAAGGAGGGCUAAUACCGCAUAAAGUCCUAAGGAUGAAACGCCUAAGGACCAAAGGAGCAAUUCGUUUAAGGAGGGGGUCGCGGUUGAUUAGCUAGUUGGUGGGGUAAUGGCCCACCAAGGCGANGAUCAAUAGCCGGCCUGAGAGGGCGCACGGCCACACUGGAACUGAAACACGGUCCAGACUCCUACGGGAGGCAGCAGUGGGGAAUUUUGCGCAAUGGGGGAAACCCUGACGCAGCAACGCCGCGUGAAGGAUGAAGGUCUUUGGAUUGUAAACUUCUUUCGAUCGGGAAGAUAAUGACGGUACCGAGAGAAGAAGCCCCGGCUAACUUCGUGCCAGCAGCCGCAGUAAU
rnacentral:rRNA from 1 species